rnacentral:rRNA from 1 species
AGAGUUUGAUCAUGGCUCAGAGUGAACGCUGGCGGUAGGCCUAACACAUGCAAGUCGAACGGCAGCACAGGAGAGCUUGCUCUCUGGGUGGCGAGUGGCGGACGGGUGAGGAAUACAUCGGAAUCUACCUUUUCGUGGGGGAUAACGUAGGGAAACUUACGCUAAUACCGCAUACGACCUACGGGUGAAAGUGGGGGACCGCAAGGCCUCACGCGAUUAGAUGAGCCGAUGUCCGAUUAGCUAGUUGGCGGGGUAAUGGCCCACCAAGGCGACGAUCGGUAGCUGGUCUGAGAGGAUGAUCAGCCACACUGGAACUGAGACACGGUCCAGACUCCUACGGGAGGCAGCAGUGGGGAAUAUUGGACAAUGGGCGCAAGCCUGAUCCAGCCAUACCGCGUGGGUGAAGAAGGCCUUCGGGUUGUAAAGCCCUUUUGUUGGGAAAGAAAUCCUAUCGGUUAAUAACCGGUGGGGAUGACGGUACCCAAAGAAUAAGCACCGGCUAACUUCGUGCCAGCAGCCGCGGUAAUACGAAGGGUGCAAGCGUUACUCGGAAUUACUGGGCGUAAAGCGUGCGUAGGUGGUGGUUUAAGUCUGCUGUGAAAGCCCUGGGCUCAACCUGGGAAUUGCAGUGGAUACUGGAUCACUAGAGUGUGGUAGAGGGAUGCGGAAUUUCUGGUGUAGCAGUGAAAUGCGUAGAGAUCA